rnacentral:rRNA from 1 species
CCACUAAAAAAGAUGAGGGGGGUGGCGGAACAUUAGUUAGUUUGGUGAGGUAAUGGCCCACCAAGACUAUGAUGUUUUAGCCGGGUCGAGAGACUGAACGGCCCACCAUUGGGACUGAGAUACGGCCCAAACUCCUACGGGAGGCAGCAGUAGGGAAUAUUCCACAAUGAGCGAAAGCUUGAUGGAGCGACACAGCGUGCACGAUGAAGGUCUUCGGAUUGUAAAGUGCUGUUAUAAGGGAAGAACAUUUGCAAUAGGAAAUGAUUGCAGACUGACGGUACCUUGUCAGAAAGCGAUGGCUAACUAUGUGCCAGCAGCCGCGGUAAU